GGCGUGCGCCUGUAAUCCAGUUACUUGGAGGCUUGGAUUGGAGGACGGCGUGAGAUUGGGAGCCAUGUGGCGCUCUGCCCUAUGUCGAUCGGGCGUCAGCGCUAAGCUCGGCGUCAAUAUGGACAUCCCGGGGGAGCUUGGGGUGGCCAGGUUGUCUAAGGAGGAACGAACCGGGCGAGGCCCGAAAGGGAGCAGCCAAAAGUUCCCACGUUGAUCAGUAGCGGGAUAGCGCCUGUGAAUAGGCGGAGUGUCACAGCCCAGUCAAUAUC
rnacentral:SRP_RNA from 1 species